rnacentral:lncRNA from 1 species
CCUGUUUUCUAGAUUACAACUAGAACUAACUAGAACUAGAACUAGAGGAACUAGAACUAGAACUAGAUGAACUAGAACUAGAUCUAGAUGAACUAGAGGUAGAACUAGAAGAACUAGAGGGAUCCUCUCUACUUGGAUGAAGAAUUCAAACCCUAACUUUGAUUCUGUAGAAGAGGUAUGCUCUCCAGGGGCUAGGGGGCCUUGCUUAUAUAGUCUUUUCAGAUGAAUCUAGGCCGUCGGAUCAAACCGACAUUAAUCGCACGGUUUUCCUUGGUCCCUUAGGUCGGUGGAGCACGAUCCGCGAAGUUGAAGCUGAUUGGUUACUGUAGCUGGGCGGGCACCCAAGGGACUUGGGCGGGCGCCCUGCCCCCGGGCCCGAUCGGCCUCCCGUUCGUGCCCGUGGCUUCUGGAGUCUUCUAGAUGGUAGAAAAUUGCGCGGCACGUUAAUAUCUCUAUGUAAACCCGACGUGUGGGCCUUUCUUCCAUAAUUCCUGAUAACCCCCUACAGAAAUACACAAACACCAAAACUCGUGGAAUUCUGUCAGAUAAAACCCUAAGUCUAGGUGUUGGUUGCAUUU